AAUUGAAUAUUAUUAUUUCAAGUAAGCCGCCAUGGUGAAAUCGGUAGACACGCUGCUCUUAGGAAGCAGUGCUAGAGCAU
rnacentral:tRNA from 1 species